rnacentral:lncRNA from 1 species
UUUCUGUUUUGCAGUAUUUCUGUUUUGUUUUUUUUUUUUUUUUAGAAUUCAACAUAUUAAAUUCUCAGGGGGUCACCCUGUCAGCCUCAAUUCUGUGGCCUGGAUUUAGUUGAAUCAAUCCUAAUUGAAAUUCUGCACAGGUCUGGUAUUCUGUGGAGAUUGCAGAUGAAUGACAGUGCAGUGGCAGGAAAGAUAAAUAUGCUGGCAAAUGAGAUCCAGGGUCUCCACAGAGGAUGGAAUAAAUUACUUUACCAAUACAGUGGAGGUUCUCUACUGUUCUUCUUAGCAUAUGCCUGUUACUCUUUUCCAUAUAAUUGCUAA